rnacentral:rRNA from 1 species
CUACGGGUCGCUGCAGUGGGGAAUAUUGCACAAUGGGCGCAAGCCUGAUGCAGCCAUGCCGCGUGUAUGAAGAAGGCCUUCGGGUUGUAAAGUACUUUCAGCGGGGAGGAAGGGAGUAAAGUUAAUACCUUUGCUCAUUGACGUUACCCGCAGAAGAAGCACCGGCAACUCCGGUGCCAGCAGCCGCGGUAAUACGGAGGGUGCAAGCGUUAAUCGGAAUUACUGGGCGUAAAGCGCACGCAGGCGGUUUGUUAAGUCAGAUGUGAAAUCCCCGGGCUCAACCUGGGAACUGCAUCUGAUACUGGCAAGCUUGAGUCUCGUAGAGGGGGGUAGAAUUCCAGGUGUAGCGGUGAAAUGCGUAGAGAUCUGGAGGAAUACCGGUGGCGAAGGCGGCCCCCUGGACGAAGACUGACGCUCAGAUGCGAAAGCGUGGGGAGCAAACAGGAUUAGAUACCCGAGUAGUC